GAUGAACGCUGGCGGCGUGCUUAACACAUGCAAGUCGAACGAAGCACCUCUCCCGAAGAUUGACACAGCUUGCUGUAGAUUGAUUCAUUUGAGGUGACUGAGUGGCGGACGGGUGAGUAACGCGUGGGUAACCUGCCUCAUAGAGGGGGACAACAGUUGGAAACGACUGCUAAUACCGCAUAGUAAGUAGAAUUCGCAUGUUUUCUUCUUGAAAGAUUUAUCGCUAUGAGAUGGACCCGCGUCUGAUUAGCUAGUUGGUAAGGUAACGGCUUACCAAGGCGACGAUCAGUAGCCGGCUUGAGAGAGUGAACGGCCACAUUGGGACUGAGACACGGCCCAAACUCCUACGGGAGGCAGCAGUGGGGAAUAUUGCACAAUGGGGGAAACCCUGAUGCAGCGACGCCGCGUGAGUGAAGAAGUAUUUCGGUAUGUAAAGCUCUAUCAGCAGGGAAGAUAAUGACGGUACCUGACUAAGAAGCCCCGGCUAACUACGUG
rnacentral:rRNA from 1 species